CCUACGGGGGGCUGCAGUGGGGAAUAUUGGACAAUGGGGGGAACCCUGAUCCAGCCAUGCCGCGUGUGUGAAGAAGGCCCUCGGGUUGUAAAGCACUUUCAGUGAGGAAGAACGCCUGGUGGUUAAUACCCAUCAGGAAAGACAUCACUCACAGAAGAAGCACCGGCUAACUCCGUGCCAGCAGCCGCGGUAAUACGGAGGGUGCGAGCGUUAAUCGGAAUUACUGGGCGUAAAGCGCGCGUAGGUGGCUUGAUAAGCCGGUUGUGAAAGCCCCGGGCUCAACCUGGGAACGGCAUCCGGAACUGUCAAGCUAGAGUGUAGGAGAGGAAGGUAGAAUUCCCGGUGUAGCGGUGAAAUGCGUAGAGAUCGGGAGGAAUACCAGUGGCGAAGGCGGCCUUCUGGACUGACACUGACACUGAGGUGCGAAAGCGUGGGUAGCAAACAGGAUUAGAUACCCGUGUAGUC
rnacentral:rRNA from 1 species